GUAUCAACAUUGGUACUCCUAUCUUUUGUAAUUCUUCAAUUUUACUAUCUCUUCUUCUCUCUAAUCUAAAAACAAUAACAUGAAAUACUCUUCUUUUUUAACAAUUGGCAUGUAAUCAUUCAAUAAUCUAAUUACUAAAAAUAAUCCUUCAAUGAAUAAUUCAAUCAAUUGAUUAUCAAUCUCAAUUUUUUAUACUUCAUAAUUUCAAUUUCUAUACUCAAUAAUAUAUAAUUUCCAUCUAUUUUAUUACAAUCUUUUUACUUUACAAGAUUCAAAACUAAAAAAAAUCCCUAAUUUCUCAAUUAUAAUUUUAUCCUAUAAGAAAUCAUAUACACACAAGAGGUAGCACUAAGCUUAUCCUAGCUCUCAACUCUCACAAUCUAGCCCCUUCUACUUCUUCUUCUAUAGAUUUAUACUUACCACCACAUAUCAAUCAUUACAUACCUAUGUUAACUAUUUUUCUUUCUUAAUCAUCCAUUAUACCCUCUAAACUAUCCAUUCAUCAAUUUACUAGCUAUUCUUAAUCCUUCAUAUAAUGUAUUAUAAGACAAAAAUAACUUGUCUAUUCUAUAUAAACCCACUUCUAAUUAUGCAAUGUCCUUACAAAUACAAAAUUAAUAAAAACCAUUUUUGAAUAACUCUUACAAAUUUUCUACCACAUUGAGCUUGAAAGAUUGAUCAAUUCUAGCAUUCAUCCGAGGUGGUUCCAUUGGUUUCAGAUCUAAUGAUAAGUUAUCAUCUUCCUUCAAUACUUCAACCUGCUCUCUCCACAAUUUGGCUGAUAAGUCCUC
rnacentral:lncRNA from 1 species